rnacentral:lncRNA from 1 species
UAAGCUUAGUUCUAUCAUUGUCUUAGAAAAUGUGCUACAUGUUCUCUAAUUAUGCACUAAUCUUGUUUCGGUAAGUAUAUUAUCAUAGAGGUUGAACUACAAAAUAACAUUUAACUCUUUUUACUAUGACUAUCAGAACCAGACUUCAGAGAAGAUGAUUAGACAUAUUGAAGCUAAGCAUGGACUCUACUACUUGGACAUACUUGGGCACCUGUUCUUCUCCAUUUUAAAUGUUAUGUUUCCCUUAUUGUUUAAAAGUUCAGAAUAUGAAAAUUUAUA